AGGAUGCUCUAGUUACCAAAUCAAGACACUCAGCAGCACCAUUAACCCAACAGCAACAAGAGCCUACACGUCGUAUUCGUGAACCUCUGUCACAAGAAGUGCAACAACCUGUAAUUAGAGGUCAUCAUUUGAAUGAGGUUUAUAAAAUUGUAUCGACGUGGCCUAACAAUGGGAAUGUGAAAGUAUCCAUUGAAAGACACAUAUUUGAUCUAGAUAUGUCAGGCUUGUACAUAUCGAAGGAAGACAUCUUGGACUUUAUUUUCAACAAAAAGAUUGGGCAAGGUAUCAUCACGUGCUACAUGAGGAUACUAUAUCAAUGGCUCGUACAACAUAAUCGCCAACAAUUGUUUCAAUUUGUUAAUCCGAAUGAAGUAGCCACUCGUUUUACAUCGCUUGAUGCACGUGUGUCUUCUUUGUAUAGACGUAUCAAAAAAAUGUCAAAUAAUCAGCAGUACAUGGUCACUCCUUGGAUUGAUGGGUAAAUUUAAAUUUAGUUUUAUGUAUGAUAAAUAAAAUUGUGAUCUAAUACUCAAUCUAAUUAACUUUUUUUUGUUUUUUUUUUGUGGAUUAUAUAGUGAGCAUUGGAUGUUGAUAUUAUUAGUGCCCGACUCUUAUUGAUUAUGUUUCAUGGAUCCUAAAAACUCACACUUGAGUAAUCGACCUGAUAUUAGAGAGACGGUCACAUUGGCAUUUCAAACUUACUACAGGGCGAUAAGGAAAGAAAUUCCACCGAAGCUAAAAGUUCAACGCCCAAAUUUAAGUGAUGCAAAUUAUACAGAAGAAGAAAUUGAUGAAGUGAAAGAGCAUUGGGCAAGUGAGAUGUUAUCGGUUAUUCAAGCUUACCGACGUUAGUUAUUUUUUGUUUUAAUAGACUAAUGGGCAAGUGAUAUGUUAUCGGUUAUUUAGUUGUUUUUUGUUUUAAUAGACCAAUAGUUAUUAUAUAAUUUUAUAGUUAUGGAUUUAUUGGUAUAAUGAACUAAUAUGUAAUAUUUAUUAGUUGUGUUAACGUGAAUUAUUAUAAUAGUCUAAUUUAUAUAAAUUUUACAUUUAAUCAAUUAAAAUUAUUAUUGUUAUAUUUAAUUGUAUUUGUAUAUAAUUAAUAUAAAUUAUUAUUUAUAAUAUAUCGAAUUUGAAUUAAAAUAAUUAAUUAUUAUGUUUUUUUUAAAAAAUAUAUAUAAUGUAGUGGCACUUUUGGUGUGUCACUAUAUCUCUAAAAAUAUUAAUAAAAAAGAAAAAAAAAAGAAAAAUAGGAUAUAGUGACACUCCAUGUAAGUGGCUGUUGCUUUUCUAGUCUGACAAAACAUAACACUGUACCCCUAUAGUGACGCGUAGACACUGAGGGCAAAAGCAUUCAGUGACACGUUUGGAGCGUCACUAAAAACUGCUUUUCCAGUCAGCCUCAUUAGUGACGCGCGUUGAAGUGUCACUAUAGACUUUUAGAGUUACGCAAUGUGUGUCACUAAAACCCAAUUUUCUAGUAGU